GUGGGGAAUAUUGGACAAUGGGCGCAAGCCUGAUCCAGCCAUACCGCGUGGGUGAAGAAGGCCUUCGGGUUGUAAAGCCCUUUUGUUGGGAAAGAAAUCCUGUCGAUUAAUACUCGGUGGGGAUGACGGUACCCAAAGAAUAAGCACCGGCUAACUUCGUGCCAGCAGCCGCGGUAAUACGAAGGGUGCAAGCGUUACUCGGAAUUACUGGGCGUAAAGCGUGCGUAGGUGGUGGUUUAAGUCUGCUGUGAAAGCCCUGGGCUCAACCUGGGAAGUGCAGUGGAUACUGGAUCACUAGAGUGUGGUAGAGGGAUGCGGAAUUUCUGGUGUAGCAGUGAAAUGCGUAGAGAUCAGAAGGAACAACCGUGGCGAAGGCGGCAUCCUGGGCCAACACUGACACUGAGGCACGAAAGCGUGGGGAGCAAACAGGAUUAGAAACCCCGGUAGUCC
rnacentral:rRNA from 1 species